GUCACCAACAUUUUAACGUAUAAUUUUAACAGCCUCUUUAAACUAAUAUCCUGGCUUGUUCGAGGCUGCUGUUUUUUCUGACAGUUUCAAUCAAAAUUAGAAAUGCUACUCUGAGCAGAGGUGGGUAGUAACGAGCUACAUUUACUCCGUUACAUUUACUUGAGUAAGUUUUUGAAAAAAAUUUACUUUUUAAGUACCUUUUUUGCACGAUACUUUUUACUUUUACUUGAGUACAUUUAUAAAGAAGAAACGGUACUUUUACUCCGCUACAUUUGCAAAAUUCGACUCGUUACUUUAAAAAAAAUUAGUUUAACACAUUAGAUAACGUGCCGUCAGUGGAGUUUCCGGUAACUUUUUUUUACCAAUGAGACGUGGCCAUACAGUCACAUGACCAGUUUGAACCCGUGGCGGGCAGAGCGGCCCAAGCUUUUCACAGUAGCGGACACACGGAAAGAAGAAAUAUGAUGGCAGAGUCUACGCUAGAGCUGAAGAGGAUGAACACCUUUGGCCUCAUAUACAAAGAAUGUUUCGCUUAAAAGCAGCACAAAAGAACAGCUAUGUCUGCAGUGUCGGUGUCUUCAGUGAGAGCCAAAACAAACCAACUUCUCAGCGUUAAACAAAUCAGCUCGUAACCUGAUGAAACGGUCUCCACUUCAUCAGACAUCACCUAGACCCAGAGCUGGGUGAGGCCAGCACAAACAGCGGCCUAUUCGAUGAAGAUGAUGGAUCCAUGGGGUCAGGAAAGCCAGUAGCAGAGGAACUGGAGAGAUACCUUUCAUGUCCAUUCACUGGAGGUGUGGAGCUAUUGCAUGGCUUUCCUCACAUCAAGAAGCUGUCGAUCAAAGUCAAUACAGCUCUUCCUGCAUCCGUGAGAGACUUUUUAGUCAUGCAGGACUCCUGUUCACUGCCAAACGGUCACAGCUUCACAGCAAGAACCUUGAGAGCCAACUGCUGCUGAAGCUGAAGCACCAUUUCACUGACUGAAGAAACAAUUUAUGGUAAAGUGAGCCAUACACAUAUGUACAUCCACAUAGUGGAAAUUUGUAUUUGUCUUUUAUAAUUAGUUUUACUCUGAUUUCAGUGUUCAUUUGUGAGUGUAGUUUUUACAUUUUUACAUAUUACAUUGUGUUAAUCCACUGUCUAUACUUCAGGGUAUUUUAGUAUACAAAAUAAGUUUUGUUUGAAUGUCUAUUCUUGUGGAAUUUUAGCACAGAUGUUUUGUUUUUUUUUUUAUUCCUGCUGUCCGCCUUGGGAAUAAACUUUUCCUGAUUAUA